UGCAGUCGAGCGGAUGAUGGGUGCUUGCACUCUGAUUUAGCGGCGGACGGGUGAGUAAUGCCUAGGAAUCUGCCUGGUAGUGGGGGAUAACGUUCCGAAAGGAACGCUAAUACCGCAUACGUCCUACGGGAGAAAGCGGGGGAUCUUCGGACCUCGCGCUAUCAGAUGAGCCUAGGUCGGAUUAGCUAGUUGGUGAGGUAAUGGCUCACCAAGGCGACGAUCCGUAACUGGUCUGAGAGGAUGAUCAGUCACACUGGAACUGAGACACGGUCCAGACUCCUACGGGAGGCAGCAGUGGGGAAUAUUGGACAAUGGGCGAAAGCCUGAUCCAGCCAUGCCGCGUGUGUGAAGAAGGUCUUCGGAUUGUAAAGCACUUUAAGUUGGGAGGAAGGGUAUUCACCUAAUACGUGAGUAUUUUGACGUUACCGACAGAAUAAGCACCGGCUAACUUCGUGCCAGCAGCCGCGGUAAUACGAAGGGUGCAAGCGUUAAUCGGAAUUACUGGGCGUAAAGCGCGCGUAGGUGGUUCGUUAAGUUGGAUGUGAAAGCCCCGGGCUCAACCUGGGAACUGCAUCCAAAACUGGCGAGCUAGAGUACGGUAGAGGGUGGUGGAAUUUCCUGUGUAGCGGUGAAAUGCGUAGAUAUAGGAAGGAACACCAGUGGCGAAGGCGACCACCUGGACUGAUACUGACACUGAGGUGCGAAAGCGUGGGGAGCAAACAGGAUUAGAUACCCUGGUAGUCCACGCCGUAAACGAUGUCAACUAGCCGUUGGAAUCCUUGAGAUUUUAGUGGCGCAGCUAACGCAUUAAGUUGA
rnacentral:rRNA from 1 species